AGCACCUAUAGCCUUCUUAAAUUUUUAAUUUAUAUUUUGUUUUACCUAUGUAUAUUUUGUUUCCAGGUACCACAAAGGCCUGAAUCCAGCGCCUACCUAUUGGAUUAUUUGCCCACUUGCCAUUGAAAAUGUGAGAAAACAGUAACACAAGUUUAUUCACAAUUUGACCAAAGGGGCCUCAGGUCUCAGAUUUCAAGCUCCACACCACCCUGAGCUGCAGUCCAUCACGUGACUGCAGGUAAACCACACCCAAAUCAUGAGGACUUCAUGAUACUCUUCCAUUUCCAUCUUUGGAAAAUGUAUCCUCCAAGAAAUGUAAUGUGUUCCAGUAGAGAAUAACCAUGCACAUGAGCAAGAAUCUGAGAUAAAUAUACAACAGCCACUUCGGAUCAUGAAUCCUGAGGCAUUUUCAACAAUCAAGUUCAGGAAUGUGCCUAAGGAAAUAAGCUCUCAUGCUUAUUCAUCAACAGUACCAUUUGUCACUGCAAUGGCUUUUGGACAAGUAUCUGAAGCCAGAUGGGGGGCAGGAGGAAUACCAGAUGCCCCUUCAGCAUGGCAUUUUACCUGAUGGACAGCAAGGAAGCUUUCUGAGAUAAAUUGGGCCUUGACAGAGACAGGAGUAAAACUAAGAAGUUCAUGACAGACUAAAUAUGAACAUGAAUAUAUAUUUAUAUAUAUGGACACAUGUAUUGUUAAAAUAUAUUAUUUGAAAUUUACAUUAAAAAGUGACAAGUGAUAGAGGAAAUAAUUAGGUAGAUGAAAAUGAUUAAAUAUAUGACAAUGGUUACUAAACAUGAGUGAUGAAAUAAGCCAGGUGCAGUGCACAUUUUUUCAUUUUAAAAUUUUAUUUCAUUAGUACAUUAUUGGAGUGCAUGAGGUUUGCCUUAGGGAGGAGGUGCAUGUACUUAACACAUCUGAUUCGUUUUUAUUCCC
rnacentral:lncRNA from 1 species